AAUAAUUUCCCCUCCUCCCCUUUUGCUCCCGCUCAGCGACAGACCUGGCUCCUUUCACGCUUUGUCCUCCCUCUUUCUUUCGUUCUUGCUCGCGCUCUCUCUCUCUCCCUUUUUUAUCUUCCUUCCUUUUCCUACUCCUUGUUUCUUUCUCUCUCUGGCUUUUGUGCAGGGGGCCGUGACGAAUGGCUCAGAAAAGAGGGUGCUGUGAGAAACUGGAGCUGCUCUGGCGGAGUGGGUGGUGAGGACUUGAGAGACUGAGGAACCAGCAUGAAGUCCAGGGCUGGUGGCACCGUGAUGCACAGGGUGGAACCGCUGUGCUGCUCCCCCUGGGAAGGCCAAGAUGUACAUGGGUCAAUCAGAGCAAGGGCUGUAUGUGGGAUGGCUCUGCUCACUGUGACAUCCCCCCCCUGCUCCUGGUGCUGUGGGGCCCACUGACAGGGUUCUCAGCACCUGCAGGAGGACACGAGGAGAGAGAACAUCCCUGAUGUGCAUCCUGCACCUUGCUCGCCCAAGGCCAGGGCAGCUCCACCAGCAGCUCCUCGCUGACCCUUCCUGCACCCUGCUCCCUCAGCCCCAGCUCUCCAUCCUCAGCCCCAGGGAUGGAUCCUGCUGUCCUGCUGCCCACAGCAGGGUCCGGCCGGCAGCCUGCAGGGGACGGGCCUGGCAGGCUCCAGCAGCAGGAGGGCUCAUGCAUUACAAUCCAGUACAAUCUGUCCCCCUUCCCGCUGCCCAGCAGUAGGGGAGACGGUUACUGUUUAAUCCCAUUUGACAGCUCUUUCAUCAUCUGCCUGCCUCCCUCCAGCUUCCCCGUGGUUCCUCCAAGGCUCCUUUGUGGCCAUAAUCAAAGCCUGCAUGAACUCAACACCCUGCAGUGCCAUCAGGGAGUCAUUGGAGCUGCUGGCCUGGCCUGACCCUCAUAAAGUCACUGAGUUUUUGUCAUGGGUUUCAAUAGGCUGUAGUGCUCUGCCUUUGCCUUGCUAUAAAGUUUUUGGGGCUUUAUUUCCCCCCACUACCACCAGGCAGAAAUGAGGCAGAGACGAGGCAUUGGUGCACAGGGGAUGGCUUGGCACACACUUCAGGUGCCCCCCAGGCUGACCAGACAAACUGCAGGGUCUGUACCAAGGCCAAUCCUCGCUCAGGGGUGGCAGAGCUGGGAGGUAGGGGAACGUCCCAGAAAUGUGCCAUGGAGCUGUUCCUGUGGCCAGCCCACGUGCCAUGGCCAAGGGCAGGCUGGAAGCAGAGCCCUGUGCUUCCCAAGGAAGGGAGUCUGCACACCCGUGGGUUAUCGCCUGCAUCAGGGCUCGGUGACGGCGCUUCCCAAGAACACAUGUUCCCUCGUAAACCCGGGAUCCGCUUAUCUCAAAGGGCACAUCCGACAAUUAGCUUAUCUGCUGUGAAAGUGAGGAACAGCUUUAGUUAUCUGCCCGGCUUCCGCAAACCAAAAAAAAAGGAGAAGGAGCCCCUGGAAGGCCGAGGCUCCUACACGGCGUCCUAUAAAUAAAGUGAGCGCUGUGAGUGUGCUGCAGACAGGAUCCAUGUGCUUGCGGUGGGAGCUGGAGAUGCCCCCGAGUUUUAAGGAUGUUCCCUGGUGCUUCCUGGUAUCAAACUCUGCCUUGGGCUGCUGGAGGCUUUGCCAAACCAUUCCAGGCUGGGUGCUGAUAUUUCAGGGUGGGUUGUGGCUUCUUAUUAAAUCUGAGGGGGAAAGGGGGAAAUCUCAUCCAGAGAGCCAGGCUGUUUCCAGGAGUGAGGGUACGAGGAGAUAAAGCAUUUGUCCUUAUUUUGUUUCAAAAUUCUGCCUUUUGAAGCAAGAGCUUGAAAUUUGGCAAGUAGGGAAGGGAGAGAGGCUGAGAUUUGUCUCGUGUCCCUGGAAUAUACUCAAAUUUGACCAAGUCAGAACACUUUAUUUGGGAAAAAAUGCACUUAGCACACGCUGGCCAUGGAAGUGGGCCCUGCUUGGAGGUUCAGGUUCCCCCCUGCAUUUCCCAUCCCAGUGGCACCAGGGGACAUCUUGGGAUGUUGGUGCUUCUUCCCUGGUGCUGCUCUUUGCUCGGCUCCCACAGCAGCAUGGCAGUGCUGGCUUCCACAAUUAACCUUCAUGGUUGCAUGGUGUGGCUGCGGCUGUGCUCGCUGAGCCCAAUGGACCUGAUGGAAGCCGUGGUUUCCCAAGUGUUUGCCCUGAGGCAGCCUGCAGACAGGUGGGCUCCCUUCUGCUGUGCUGUGUUCAAUGUGACUUUGAGUGCUCCACAGCUUUUUUCCUCUUGUCCCUCAACAAACCAGCCUGGAUCACUCAUGUACAAUGAAGCAGAGAGUUGAACCAGCCCUGCAGUGAAGCCGUCCUCUGCACUGAUGGCUGCAGCAGUGAUGUGCAAACCACCCAGGCCCAGUGUGCUGCAGGGAGAGACUGUGAGUGUGGCCCCUCUGCUGCUGCCCCCCAUGCGCUACUCUCUGUCCCCAUCACUGCCACAGGCACAGAGCUGUUGGCAGGAGCAGGAGCUGGGGCUGCUGGGCGGCUCCUUGGCUGUGAUGGGCACCCAGCAACGAAAUGAAAUCGCCAACAGAUGCUGGAGAGAAGGCUGUCAGAGUGCUCUCGAUGGUUCGGAGCCCAGCUGUGGGGCUGUAUGCUGCUGGCUGGCAUCACUCACCUCCCUCCCAGCCCUGCCACCACCUCCUGGUGCCUGCUGGCCUGGCUGGCACCCUCCUGCCUGCAGAGCAGGGACUUUGCUGCUCUGCCUGGAGCACCACAUCCCUUGCUCUAACACCAGCUGUUGGACGAGUUACUCUGCUGCAGGUCACUGCUGAGGACUCCUUCCCAUGGAGAGCUCAGGAGUGCAGUGGUGCCAGUGCCCGGCUUGGGGAGAGGCAGGGGUGGCCCAGGGGCUGCUGCUCCCUGGCUGUGGUCACUGCCCGCUCCCCCCCGGUUCAGCACUUUCUCCCUGCUCUCUUCAAAGUCCACAUGAAGAAACAAGUAUCUUGUUUGCAAACUAAAAACUAGAAAUGAUUUAUAUGUUUAUAAGCCCAGCUCUGGCUCUCUUUGUUUUGGCAAAGUGAUUGUUUGCAUCUUUGCAGAAUUCCUUCACCCAAACCACUCAUUAGAUAUGAAUUUCAAAACAGCCGGAGGGAGCGGGUGACUCAGGGGAAUCAGCUCAUGGCUUCCCAAAGCCUUUUACGUCAAGGCCAGCAGCUCGAUGCCAGUGGCAC